rnacentral:rRNA from 1 species
UACGUAGGGUGCAAGCGUUGUCCGGAUUCAUUGGGCGUAAAGGGUGCGUAGGCGGCGCGGUAAGUCGGGUGUGAAAUCUCGGAGCUUAACUCCGAAACUGCAUUCGAUACUGCCGUGCUUGAGGACUGGAGAGGAGACUGGAAUUUACGGUGUAGCGGUGAAAUGCGUAGAUAUCGUAAGGAAGACCAGUGGCGAAGGCGGGUCUCUGGACAGUUCCUGACGCUGAGGCACGAAGGCCAGGGGAGCAAACGGG